UUUGUACUCCCUCCGUCCGAAAAAAACUUGUCAUCAAAAUGGACAAAAAAGGAUGUAUCUAGAACUAAAAUACAUCUAGAUACAUCCCCUUUUAUUCAUUUUGAUGACAAGUAUUUCCGGACGGAGGGAGUAUUGA
rfam:Triticum aestivum genome assembly, contig: Triticum_aestivum_CS42_TGACv1_scaffold_424086_5BS